CUUGGCCUAGACCGAUAACACAGUACUAGUGAUCCAACACAACUUUCAUAAGCUGAUCUAGAGAUGGCAGCCACAAAGCAGACGAUCUGCUGCAUGCUUCUUACACUGGUGCUUGCAUCAAAUUUCGUCCAAGAUUGCGAGGCUAAUCCUUCCAGUCUGCUUUGCUGGACCCUGUUAGGUAAGAUGAUAUCUUGCUCUGUCUGGUCCAAGCAGGACAUAGCACAUUGCAAGAAUGAGUGCAAGCAGAAGAGCUACGACGAUGGGAUGUGCUAUGUCACACCCGGUAAAGUCAAGCUUGUCUGUCUAUGUCACAUACCCAACUGCAAGUGAUGAUGCUAAAACAAUAGCAACGCUGAAACCGAGCUAAUAAAUUUGUACUGUAUAUAUAAGAAUGGGGGAUGACCGUCUGGCAAUGAACUUCCUGGUUUUUCCCCCUUUGUUAUUCUGGUCCCAGGCAUCUGCUCCCGCAACAAGAUUUUCAGUUUUUUGCUUC